CAAGUAGGAAAAGAAAUUCCUCUGGAUGUUCUUGCUACUGCAGAACUGGAGAAUUUGGGACAUCCAUUAUUGGAAGGUUUGGAUAUAUUAAUAGUUAAAAGUAAGCCUUCACCCAAGAAAAGCGAUCCUGAUCUAGAUGUAACUCAGUACCAAUCACCAUCAUUCCAAUGGUUCACAUCAAAGUCUUCAAAAAAGGU